UUGAAAACACAUUUGGUGGGCUAAACUCAGAAAUAAAUUAUAAAACAAAAAAUUCGGAUUCAGUUUUCCAGUUGUAAAGUUGAGAACGUGUUUAAUGUGUUUUCAAAUGAAUUUACAGUUCACACUAAAGAACAAACUACAGAACAAAUCUCAAACAUCUCUGGCUCGUAUUCUCUUCAUCAACAGCUCCUAAAGUCCCCGAUCUAAACUCUCCGCACUCAUUAUCAAUCUCUUCUUCCUCUUUCUCUAGAUCUACAACACAUAUCUCUCUCUCUAACUCGAUCUGCCAGUCCGUUGCUGCUGCUGCUCGAUCUCGGCUGUUGCAGCUGCUGUCUUCACUUGGUCUUUGCUCCAGCUACUUCCAGUCAGUUGCUGCUGCUGCUGCGCUUCCAGUUCGUUGCUGUUGCUGCUAGAUCUUGGCUGUUGCAGCUGCUGUCUUCACUUGGUAUUUGCUCCAGCUACUUCUAGUCCAUUGUUGCUGCUGCUAGAUCUCGGCUGUUGCAGCUGCUUUCUUCACUUGCUCUUUGCUCCAGCUACGCGUGCUUUCUGCAAUCUGCUCUUCCACUCGCUUGCUGCAACCACGUACUGGUAUAUUUCUUUCUUUUUUUCUAUUUGGUUGAAUUUUGAGUGUAAUUCGAAUUUGUUUAGCUUGGACCCAUAUCAUGUUCAAUUCAGCAAAUUGGAUUCAACUGGGCAAAUUAGAUGUUGCUAUGUUCAAUUAGUUUUCUAGACAAAUUAAUUGGGUGUAGUUUUUUAUUAUCUUGUGUAUUGGUGUUUGCUCUGGUUUUAUUUUCUUUGGAUGUACCCAUCUUUGAUAACGGACAAUAUAUCCAAUAAUUGAAGCCUAGCACUUAUUAUCCAUGGGGCAAGUUACUCCGACUAGCUUACUGAGCCUUAUCUUUAUUUCAUAUUUGAAAUUGAAAUUCAUUUGGCAAUUGCCUAAUGCUGUGGGCCCAAGUGUAGCCCCACAGGAAGAUUCAAGAGGCCAACAAAGGGACUGAUCAGUCGAAAAUUGGGAGAAAAUUAGCUACAACUUCAUGGAAAAAUCAGAAAUUCUUUUAAGAUGUUAUUGAACUAUUUUGAGUUGUUGGAAUUUUUGCUUUACAGAACUUGAUAGGUAUAGAUAUUCAGAGACUUGUUUGUGAAAUACAAGAUUUUGUAUUGGAAGGUUGCACCCAACAUAUACAAUUGAACUUGGUGUAACUUUCUGGUGAAUUUUGGCAGCUUCCAAUCCUUCUGAGUUUGAAUUUCCUCUUGAAUAUAUCGAUCUGCAUUUUAUUGACAUUUGUUGCAAGCAAUUACUUUGAUUUUUUUUAUUCAUUUUAUGAAGUUGUGAUUAUUAGAAUUUGGGAUAGGGCUUGUAAUAAGGUUUGGACUGUCAAAUUUGGAAUAACAUUGCACAUUUGAAAGCUGUCUUUUUCUACACAAACAUGCAGACAUGCACAUACACACCAUAAUCUUUCGAGUAACAUUCAUUUUGUAAUCUAUGACAUGUUGCUGAAAUUACUUUCAUGUUAUGUUGAAUUUGAUUAAUAUUUGAUAUGUGUUAUUUUUUUAAAAAUUUUUCAAGAUAUGGAUCCACAUGAUGUUGAUGUUGAGGAUAAGGCCGAUUGGUACAAGAGAUGGAAUUAAAAAACAAGUGUCGCAGAGAUGAAUGCUACAAGAGAUGGAAUUGCAGCUUUUAUGUGGCAUGAUUACAUACGUAAUGCAUAAUGUGUAUCAUGUAGUUUUUUUAUAAUUAUUUUGUUUAAAUCAUGUGUUGUAAUAUAUAUCUUAAUUAUAUGGUGUAAAAACAAUGACAAUUUCAAACUUUUUUUAAUUAAUGUUAAUUCUUAAACUUUAUUAUCA
rnacentral:lncRNA from 1 species